CUAGAUGUAGCUCAGUUUGGCAGAGUGCCUGGUUUGGGACCAGGAGGUCGCCGGUUCGAGUCCGGCCAUCCAGACCA
rnacentral:tRNA from 1 species